rnacentral:rRNA from 1 species
CCUACGGGGGGCAGCAGUGAGGAAUAUUGGUCAAUGGCCGAGAGGCGGAACCAGCCAAGUCGCGGGAGGGAAGAAUGUCCUAUGGAUUGUAAACCUCUUUUGUCAGGGAGCAAAGUCACCCACGUGUGGGUGUUGGAGAGUACCUGAAGAAAAAGCAUCGGCUAACUCCGUGCCAGCAGCCGCGGUAAUACGGAGGAGGCGAGCGUUAUCCGGAUUUAUUGGGUUUAAAGGGUGCGUAGGCGGGUUAUCAAGUCAGCGGUAAAAUCGUGGAGCUCAACUCCAUCCAGCCGUUGAAACUGCUGAUCUUGCGUGGGCGAUAAGUCUGCGGCAUGCUUGGUGUCGCGGU